rnacentral:lncRNA from 1 species
CUGAACAUCUUUUGCUUAAUCAGGCAGAGCAUAGUGGAGGGUCCGCUUCUACCUCACAUGACCUCUCCACCGCAUCAUAUAUGUUUUGCGGCUCUGUGGCUCCAUUAAUUGCAGUAAGGCGCUUGUGCCAUCCAUGUCUGAUUUGUGCAGCCAUCAUCUGUAGCAUUGGCUGGAGCCGUCAUCCGAAACAGUUUCACUGAUUCUCAGGUAAGCACCGUGAUUUUUCCAUGUGUUGAUUCAAUCCAGAAAAGUUAAGAUCACAAAUGCUCUUAGGAUUGAUUAAUGAAUUGAAUUACAAGAGUAUUGUCCGUCCAGACCUUUUUAGGGACCUUCUAGAAUCAAGAUUUGACACGAAACAAAUUGUUUUCUACUCCCUCCGUUCGGAAUUACUUGUCUCGGAAAUGGAUGUAUCUAGAACAUCUAGAUACAUCCAUUUCCGAGACAAGUAAUUCCGAACGGAGGGAGUAUGUUAUAUUGUCAUUGCUAACAUUGUUGAUCUCGAGCUGCAUCCUCCAUAAUAGUGACUUCAAAUCUGAGGCUGGCUAGAAGAACAUAUCUCCAUCAGCGUCGUUACCCCUCUGGAACAUUGUCAUGCUAGCCACCUGACGCUCGGCAUAUCCUCUCCCUCGUGGCAUCCAGCUUUGCUGCAGGGACCAAAAGGUGCUCCAUCACCGGAUUCAUCAUACUGGAAUCCUCUCUUCUUGUGUGGUUUAGUCAACUUUGUUUUCCUGUAUGCUACAGUUCGGGUCUAGAUCGAAGUCGGCUGAGCUGUUGGGUGGCUCUGAAGAUGUGUUUGUGUUAGAGAUUAGUUUACAUGCAAAGUAAGUUCUUUAAGAAAAGUAUUACUGCGCACCACUCCAAUUUGUUCCUUGAACUGAUAAGAUCUGGUCCAGUAGUACUGCUGCAAAUAUGAGGCAAGACGUUCUGCCUGUUUCUAUUAUCCCGCACAAUAAACAAUAUGUGUGUACUCACCAUAGUGGUGAAGCACAUACACUUCAACACUUCCGCUUCGGUACAACCCCCCUAAACACAAGAAGGGCUGAGAUUAAUCCGUACCCUUUCAUACUAAGGGGCAUGAUGGCCAUAUUUAAAUAAGUUUUUUUUUGAGUAACCGUUGUACCUAGCGUACGAACGCCUAACCGGCCAUGGGUGCGCGGCGGCCAGCCCAUUUAAUCCUUCUUUUACUGGCAACCCAGUAACAUCGAAAAAUUAUGCACGCAACGUGAUUCGAACUUGGAACUUCCGAUUCUAAUACACAAUGCAGUCACCAAUCGGGACAACUUACAUUGGUGUGUGGUUUCCAUUUUUCUGCUUCUUGUACACAACGAAGUAGCAUGCUUGGCCGGCCCAACAGGCCCGACGGCGUGUCGGCCCAUGGCCGCCGCAUUUUUAAUCCAUUUUAUUUUUUCGUUCUUUCAUUUUUUCCUUUCUUGAGUUUAUCUUUUUUCGUGCACAAUUUUCAGCAACUGUUGGGAAUUUGUUAGCAAUUUUCAUAAAAUUGUAAAUAUUUUAACAUUUUCAUAAAUAAUUUGAAAUUCCAAAAUUGUUGAUAAAUUAAAAAUAAAUGGUUAGAACAUAAAAAUUUGUUCAGGUUGGUUCAUAAUUAUCGAAAUUUCAUACAUGAAAUAAAAGAAGCAUUGAAUUUAAGAAAACUACGUGCUCACGGAUGCAAUCGUCUGGACUAGUCCUGCAACCUAUUCUUAACUGGUGUUUUUUUGCACUAUUGAUAAAUGACCCUAACUUUUUGCGGUAGCCUGGCAUGGACAUAAUAGGCAUCCAUGCCUGAUUCAAAUGAGUUGCGACACUGUUGGCAUGUUGCAACACGUGUGGCCAUUAUAUAGGAUGUUAUUCACCGAAAUAAUUAAAAAAUAUCAGAAACUUGUCUUAUGAAAGUACUUGUUGGCAUGGUGGCAUGAAAUGGUGAUACAUGGUGAUGGAAAAAAAUAGUUCAUUUGACGGAUGUCGAAAAAUGAGGUGUUCACGAAUAGACCCGAACACCCACUGUCUAACAUGUUUUUUUUUGUACACCCAGUGCAUGCCCAUGGUAGGCAUAUAUGUCUGAUUUGAAUGAAUUCGGGCACCGUUUGCAUGUUGCAAUAUGCCCGGCCAUUUAUCAGCCCUUUUUCACCGAGAAAACUUCAGAAAAUACAAAGCUUGUCGAAAACGGGAACAUCCUGGCAUGAUGGCAUGAAUUGGUGAUACAAGGUGAUGGGGAAAAAUUGAGGCCAUCUGGCGGAUGCAAAAUAUAAGGUGUUCACAAACAGACCCUUCUGGCCACCCGAACACCCUCUGUAUAACAUGGUUUUUGUUGUACAUGUGAUGAAUGACCCUAGAUUUUUCUACCAAUGGUGUGUGUGCCCAUAGUAGGCAUCCAUGCCUGGUUUGAAUGAAUUCGGACACCGUUUGCACGUUGCGACGCAUUUGGCUAUUUAUCGGCCUUUUCACCGAGAAAACCCCAGAAAAUACAUAACUUUUCGAAAGCGAAAAAAACCUGACAUGGUGGCAUGAAUUGGUGAUACAAGGUGAUGGAAAAAAAGUUCCUCGAUUUUCAAAAAGCUAAUGAAUUUUUAAAAAAUCAUGAGAUUUUAAAAAAUUUCAGGAAAUUUGGAACAAAAAUGAUCACAGAGAUUUGAAAAGAAAAACAAAAAUUAAAAAGCUGCAGGGAUUUGUAAAUUCACGAAUUUGACUAAAAAGGAAAAAAGGAAAAAAGAAACUAAAACCGGAAAAAAAGGAAAAUAAAUAAAUAAAUGACCGGCGAACAAAAAGUAAAAAAAAGUACACUGUACAACAAUAUGUAGGCUUCCCAGUUGGUUGUCGCAGGUAGUUGUGAACAUUGAGGUUUUUUGUUCGAAUCCCAUGUGGGCAUCCCUUUUUUGAACUCUAGGAAAAAAAAGUGUAGCAAAAGGAAAGUGUAAAAUGGGCCGGCCCACGAUGGAGGAGAGGCGGUCAGGACGUGCAAACGCGUACGUAUACGUCCCGAGACCCAUACAGAGGUGGGUAUACGUUCCUCUCAAAAGACCAUUAUGCCCUUAUACGUUUUGUGGAGGGGGGUUGUACCGAAGCGGGACUCACACUUCAAAUCAUCCAUUCUCUUGUUCCCCAAAAUAAAUUCAUUCGUUCUAACCAUUAGCCAUAUGAUUGUACAGAUAGACCAUAUAAAUGGGAUUCUUUCUGUAAAUAGAAAUCAACCUGAUUUGAUUAUGUUUCAUGUCCAUAAUAGUUUUCUCUUGGUAGAAAAAACAUAAACAUGUACAUACAGAUUAUAUUUCUGCUCAUUGCAAGAGGAUAUGAGGAUUUCUACUAUUAUACCGACAGAAUGAUAGCAUCACCUCAAGCAUGUAACCGUGGGAGUUAGUCCUUCAUUAAUGAUUUGGUAAGUUGUCCAUACUGCCUCGAGGGGGGAAGUUUUUAUCACUGCUUUUUGGUUGUAUUUAUGUAAGAGGCAUGGAGGGAGCUGGAACUAAUUUGUGAUUUCUCCUGGCCAUUUUUUUCUUCUAAAAAGAGAAAGUUUUCCGGUGAUCAAACAUUGUAGAUCAGAAAUGUUCUUCAUCGAUGCCCAUCCCAAUUGCUAACAAUUCUUUUGCACACUCAGGUUUGUGCUUUUCAGUGGUAAUUUACUAAACAUACUUUGGGUUAUGAUCCUUUGACAUACACUUAUGCCCUCCCCUACACAUUAUUUUUAGGUUGCCAAAUAUAGUACGAAGGAACUAUAGCAAGUGAAUUGUCGAGUUUGCCAAGCAUAAUGGCACACCUAAUUUUGGCAGAUCAUAUAAAGAGGAUAUCGAGCAAAGAUGCUUUGAGAUUUACCCAUGACUAUAUGCGGUUCCUAUAAACUCCUGUUGCAUGUUUAAUGAUUGCCACAAUAGUUUCUUUUAAUGCACCAGAGAAUUAUAUUUUUUGUAUCAGGUAAAUAAUUCUUUUCUCACUGUUAUUUUUCCAGAUCAAGAUCGAGAUAUAGACAAGGGGUAAUGGCAGCUCGUGCAGUGGCAGAGUGCUGGGGAGGCUGCCGGUGUCGUUGCUGAGAGCUGGGGAGGCUGCUGGUGCCAUGGCCGAGCGAUUGGGCGAGCUGCCGUGGUGGAUGUGGGAGAGCGACCAGUAAGGCAAGACAGAGUUGUGCUGUUGGUUAGGUCCAUGGCGAGGUGCCACGAGAUGGCAUCAGAUUUAUUGGAGGAUAUACAUGAUGACUAGGGUUGAGAAUAAUAUUGCUACUCCUGCAAUUUUGAAUCAUGUGUGAGAGGAUAGAACAGAGAAAAGGAAUAUGAGGCAAUUUUGUUUGCUAUAUGCUUUGUGUGCCGAUGCUUUUGUACGGAGAGAGACACUUCAUGUGAUGUUGCUAUGUGGCCUUCUAUGCUCUGAUGUGUGCUAACUUUGUACAAGGGACAUUCAUAUAUUGGAAUUCAAAU